ensembl:lncRNA
GGGGGGCAGCAGCUCUUACCCAGAAAGACGUACUGCUGUCUCUGCUCAGAGAGGUGGAGCUGGGCUGGCUGUGGCAUCCACAGUCACACUUUUCAGAAAAAGCAGCAGCCUUGAGGGUGAUCAAGGACGUCCCACCACUGGGGUGUCAAGGACAGUGGAUGGGAGGUGAGGUUCUGGACCCUCCUCACCCUCAGCUCUUAGUCUGAUGGACCAGGGAGCCUCUGUGUCUACGCUGGAAAGAAGAACCAAGGGAGAAGUAAAGGAAAUGCACAAGGCACCCAGGCCCGCAAGACCUGACCCUGGCCAGGAGUUAGCAGGGUAGCUUCAUCAUGUGAUAUGGAAAGAUUUCUGAUGACCUGUCAGCUCCGUGCAGUUCAGCUCCUCACGGUGAGCCGCGGGGACCACCAGACAGGCUGUACCAUGGAAAUCGGCUCAGCCUGAUUUCAUGCUUUACUGUGUGUCUAAGUGAGAACUAGGAAUACAAUAUGACCAAAUACGUCAGCAUCUGUGUUGCGGGAUAAAGAGAUAAUGCAAAUGGUGCCUUCUAAAAGGUAUAUUUGUGUAGAUGGGUUAUCCGUGUCCUUCCUUCACCUUAAACAAAAGAGAAAAAGAUGACCUUCAAAGAGAUGCUUAUUUUCAAAGUCAUGGUUUUGUAAUUUCCCUUUCGUGCAACAGCUGGUGUUGCUAGGCUGUCACUCCUGUUGCUAGGGCUCCCUCCCCCAUCUCUGUCCUAGGAUGUGAUUGUUUCUUCAGUGUUCUUCUUAAGUGUUUCCAUGGAGAGUUUCCAAGUUCAUUUGUCUCAGUCUGUUUUAUCAGUAAGUGUGGUCACCCUGCCAGGCUGUACACCUGCAUGACUUUCCAAUAUGGUAGCUGUCACCGACACAUGACUCGUGAAAUGCAGUUAUUCCCAGUUGAGGUGUGCGGUCGGUGUCAAAUACCCAGGGGAUUUCGAGGACUUAGGGGGAAAAAAAGCAUGAUCGCUAUCUCAUCCAUAAUUUUCGUAUGGAUUGUAUGAGGAAUUGAUAACAUUUUGGAGAGAUUGGAUUAAAUAAAAUAUAUUAAAAUUAAUUUCCCCUGAUGCUUUUUUUUGUUGUUACUUUUUAAAUGUGACUGCAAGAACAUUAAAAUGACAGCAUGGCUUGCGUUGCACUUGUAUUGGAGAGAGCUUCCCUAGACGAUGUGAGGGCUCUGUGCUUAAGGAGUAAGAAUAUUUCAAAAUACUAAGAGGAGAAAUUACUAGAAGUUACCAGGGAAAGGGCCGGGGGUGGUUCACUGCCGAGGCAGGUUGACUUAAUGAGCUUUGCAAAUAAGAUUACCUGCUGGUGAAAACUGGCUCCUUAGGAGAUAAACCCCUAACAUGGGUACAGUCCACUGUCUGCCCUGCUUCCUGCCUUGCUUAAGGCCCAGCGACCUGCUGCGCUUCUUUGGUGGUUUACUAAAUGGUAUUUGAUGAUCACAAUAAGGACUGAAUCUUUGUAAGGGCUGUUGUGGCUUGCCAAGUGCGUUCACUCCUAUUAAACCAUCCAGUCGUCUCACCAGCGUCCUGAGGUGGGAAUGGCUAUCAUUCCCAGGUAAAGAUGAACCCACUAAGGUUCGGAGAAGGUAGGCGAUUCGCCGGAGGCCACGCAGCCCGUCACCUGCACUCACAUUCUCAACUUCAACUUCCUAGUCUUGCGAUUUUCCCACCGUAUCGUAUAAGAUCGAUCCUAGAGAGCAAUUUGGAGAGUCAUUUCCUGGCAACUGUGCUAACAACGGCAGUGAGUUCAGUUGUGCUGUGCCAUCAGUGGGGAUUGCGUAAGACUGAUUAUGGGAUGGUCCCCUGACUACAGGGAAAGGGAGAGACACAGCCAAGGAAGGGAAGUCAGAUCUAAGUCUCAACUUUGCUGGAAACUUGUCAACCACUAAACAGUCGGUGGGAGGUACACCAGGUCAUUUCUAAAAGUCUUUUUCAGCCCUGUAGCUCGAGGAAGCCUGGUCUAAAUGAGGCACAUCACCUCUUCUCAUGUGCUAUAUUAAAUAUCCACUGGGGGAACAAUAUGCCUGUUAUAUUGACCUGGGUUAGAUUUCUGAUAAGCUAUUCUUGGAGUUGAUAUUUCACACCAACUUCACACACAGAGACUAUGGAUCAAUUUAUUGUUUUUAACUUUAGAGCUGUACCCAUGGCAUAUAACGUUCCCAGGCCAGGGGUUGAAUCUGAGCCACAGCUGCAAACUACACCGUAGCUGUGGCAACCUGGAUCCUUUUAAUUCCCUGCGCUGGUAGGGGGAUUGAACCCACACCUCUGCAGUGACCCAAGCUGCUGCAGUCAGAUUCUUAACCCACUGUAUCAUGGCAGGAACACUUAUGAAUCAAUGUUAUCUGUACAUUUGUGUCACUUUCAUUUGAUACCUAGAGGUAAAAUGCAUGUUGUUUCCAUUGGGAAAUGCAUGACACUAAAGAAUGCCAAGGAGGCUCCAGUCCCAUGUGAAUAUCAUGUAAUUAACCUGCAUUUAUAUCCUCAUUUCACUUGCAGUCAUGCUUUGCAAAUGCAGCAUCCUACCCCACAAUAUGUUCAUGAAUUAAAAAUUCAACUACAGCCACUCCAGGCAAGCCUCACUGUCAGUCACGUCUUUCUCUCUGAGACCAGCAGGAUUUACAUCUAUGUGACACAACUUCAAAUUCACCUCCAAAGACCUAUACCUCAUGGACCAAACUCGGUAGUCGUCCAACAUAUGCAAGUGCAAGAAAAUUCAUUCUCAGAGGCACCUAAUUCAAAAUUUUCAGAAUCAGGCACAGGUAGUUUUUGUAAAGACAAUUCCAAAUAUUCAGUUCUAAAAAGCAAAAGAGGAAUUCCCAGGUGGUGCAGUGGGUUAGGAUCCAGCAUUGUCAUUGCUGUGGCUCAGGUCGCUGCUGUGGCAUUGGUUUGAUUCCUGGUCCUAGCAAUUGCUUUCCAUAUGCUGCAGGUACAGUCAAAAAAAAAA